rnacentral:rRNA from 1 species
CCUACGGGGGGCUGCAGUGGGGAAUAUUGCACAAUGGGGGAAACCCUGAUGCAGCAACGCCGCGUGAGCGAUGAAGGCCUUCGGGUCGUAAAGCUCUGUCCUAAGGGAAGAAUACUGACGGUACCUUAGGCGGAAACCCCGGCGAACACCGCGCCAGCGGCCGCGGUAAUACGUGGGGGGCUCGCGUGAUCGGGAUUAUCUGGGGGUAAAGGGUGCGUAGGCGGCCGUUAAAGUCAGAGGUGAAAGGCUACGGCUCAACCGUAGUAAGCCUUUGAAACUGUAGGGCUUGAGUGCAGGAGAGGAGAGUGGAAUUCCCAGUGUAGCGGUGAAAUGCGUAGAUAUUGGGAGGAACACCAGUUGCGAAGGCGGCUCUCUGGACUGUAACUGACGCUGAGGCACGAAAGCGUGGGGAGCGAACAGGAUUAGAUACCCGAGUAGUC